rnacentral:rRNA from 1 species
AGAGUUUGAUCCUGGCUCAGGACGAACGCUGGCGGCGCGCCUAACACAUGCAAGUCGAACGGAGCUGAGAGAGCUUGCUUUUUCAACUUAGUGGCGAACGGGUGAGUAACGCGUGAGUAACCUGCCCCAGAGAGGGGGACAACAGUUGGAAACGACUGCUAAUACCGCAUAAGCCCACGGCACCGCAUGGCGCUGAGGGAAAAAGGAGUUAUUCGCUUUGAGAUGGACUCGCGUCCGAUUAGCUAGUUGGUGAGGUAAGGGCCCACCAAGGCGACAAUUGGUAGCCGGACUGAGAAGGUUGAACGGCCCCAUUGGGACUGAGAACACGGCCCAAACCCCUACGGGAGGCAGCAGUGGGGGAUAUUGCCCAAUGGGGGAAACCCUGAUGCACCGACCCCCCGGGGAGGAAAAAGGUUUUCGGAUUGUAAACUCUAUUAGCUAGGAAGGAUAAGGCGGUUCCUGAACAAGAAGCCCCGGGUAAAUUAGUUCCCGCCACCGGGGUAAUAAGUAAGGGGCCAGGGUUAUUCGGAAUUUAUGGGGGGAAAGGGGAGGUCGGGCGAGAGGCCAAGCAGAAAGGGAAACCCAGGGGUUCACCCCAGGAAUGGUUUUGAAAAUGUUAUUUUUGAAUUAGGGAGGGGGUAGAGGAAUUUCCCGGGGAGCGGGGAAAAGGGUAGAAAUUAGGAGGGACCCCCGGGGGGAAGGGGGCUCUAUGGGGCACCAAUGACCGUGGGGCUUGGAAAGCAGGGUAGCAAACAGGAUUAGAUACCCUGGUAGUCCACACCGUAAACGAUGAUUACUAGGUGUUGGGGGGAUGACCCCUUCCGUGCCGCAGUUAACACAAU